GAGGAGAGGGGGGGGAGGGAGAGGGGUGGGUGUCACGGAAGAGACCCUACCCAGACGACGAGCCGUGCGGCAGACUUGCUGGUGAGCGUGAGGCUCCCUCACCCUCACCCACGCUCGCCUCCCUCACCCUCACCAACGUGACCGCUGUGCACAACUACGCAGCAGCGUGUGUGCGAGGGCAGGACAGCGUGGAGUUUGAUGAUCUCAGUGCGUCCUUCCGGAGCCUCUACAACUCGGUGUUUGGCCUCAGUG